rnacentral:rRNA from 1 species
UACGGAGGGUGCAAGCGUUAUCCGGAUUCACUGGGUUUAAAGGGUGCGUAGGCGGGCGGGUAAGUCAGUGGUGAAAUCUCCAAGCUUAACUUGGAACUGCCGUUGAUACUAUCUGUCUUGAAUAUCGUGGAGGUGAGCGGAAUAUGUCAUGUAGCGGUGAAAUGCUUAGAGAUGACAUAGAACACCAAUUGCGAAGGCAGCUCACUACUCGAUCAUUGACGCUGAGGCACGAAAGCGUGGGGAUCAAACAGG